rnacentral:rRNA from 1 species
AGAAUCAACGCUGGCGGCGUGCCUAACACAUGCAAGUCGCACGAGAAAGGGGAGCAAUCCCUGAGUAAAGUGGCGCACGGGUGAGUAACACGUGACUAACCUACCCUGGAGUGGGGGAUAACUGAGGGAAACCUUAGCUAAUACCGCAUAACACCUACGGGUCAAAGGAGCAAUUCGCUUUGGGAGGGGUCGCGGCCGAUUAGUUAGUUGGCGGGGUAAUGGCCCACCAAGACAGUGAUCUGUA